rnacentral:sRNA from 1 species
AGAAUUAUGUGGGUUAUCCGAAUCAAU